rnacentral:misc_RNA from 1 species
UUAAGUUCAGCGGGUAUCCCUACCUGAUCCGAGGUCAAUCAUAAAAAGUUGGGGGUUUUGGCGCGCAACCACUAGACGCUAUAGCGAGAAGAAUUACUACGCUUAGAGCCUAAUGACCACUGCCACUGAUUUUAAGGGCUGCCUGUAACAGCAGGCCCCAACACCAAGCAGAGCUUGAAGGGUGAUAAUGACGCUCGAAC